rnacentral:rRNA from 1 species
UACAGAGGUCUCAAGCGUUGUUCGGAUUCAUUGGGCGUAAAGGGUGCGUAGGUGGCGCUGUAAGUCGGGUGUGAAAUUUCGGAGCUUAACUCCGAAACUGCAUUCGAUACUGCGGUGCUUGAGGACUGGAGAGGAGACUGGAAUUCCUGGUGUAGCGGUGAAAUGCGCAGAUAUCAGGAGGAACACCGGUGGCGAAGGCGGGUCUCUGGGCCGUAACUGACGCUGAGGAGCGAAAGCAUGGGGAGCGAACAGG